rnacentral:rRNA from 1 species
UACGAGGUCGAGCGUAACUACGGAUUACUGGGCGGGUAAAGCGGCGCGUAGGUGGUUCAGUCCAGGUCAGAUGUGAAAGCCCCCGGGCUCAACCUGGGAACUGCACCUGAUACUGCUGAGCUAGAGUACGGUAGAGGGUAGUGGGAAUUUCCGGUGUAGCGGUGAAAUGCGUAGAGAUCGGAAGGAACACCAGUGGCGAAGGCGACUACCUGGACCGAUACUGACACUGAGGUGCGAAAGCGUGGGUAGCAAACAGGAUUAGAUACCCCCGUAGU